rnacentral:rRNA from 1 species
GGUCUAACAAAGCAAAAUGAAUUUUAGUUUUACCUCCCGAAACUAAGUGAGCUACUUCGGAAUAGCCAUGGGGCUAACCCGUCUCUGUUGCAAAAGAGUGGGAAAAUUCCCAAGUAGGGGCGAUAAACCUACCGCACUAAGAGAUAGCUGGUUACUUAAGAAAAGAAUAUUAGUUCUACCUCAAGUUUUUUUAGUUUAAAUAAACCUCAACUAAACUUAAGAGCUAUUCAAAUAGGGCACAGCUUAUUUGAAAAAGGAUACAACCUACUACAUUGGGUAAUCAAUUAAGAAAACUGUUAAGUGGGCCUAAAAGCAGCCACCUUUCAAAAAGCGUUAAAGCUUUAUCCUAACUCUUUAAAAAAUAACUAUAUUAUUAUACAACCCAUCAUCAAUAUUGAGUAACUCCAUAAAAAUAUGGAAAAUAUAAUGCUAGAACUAGUAACAAGAAGAAGAACUUCUCCAAAAUGUAAGCCUAAGCCAUUUAAGACACCCUACUGGCAAUUAACGCCUAUGAGCAAAUUUUAUCAACACCACAAGAAAACCUUAAAUACUACAACGUUAAACUUACACUAGAACAUUUAUGGAAAGAUCAAAAGAAAAAGAAGGAACUCGGCAAAUGUCAACCCCGCCUGUUUACCAAAAACAUCGCCUCUUGAUUAUAUAUAAGAGGUCCAGCCUGCCCAGUGACAAGAUUUAACGGCCGCGGUACCCUAACCGUGCAGGNNNNNNNNNNNNNUGUUCUUUAAAUGAGGACUUGUAUCAACGGCAUCACGAGGGUUAAACUGUCUCCUUUUUCAUAUCAGUGAAACUAAUCUCCCCGUGAAGAAGCGGGGAUAAUUUUAUAAGACGAGAAGACCCCAUGGAGCUUUAAACCCAACAACACUCCUCCCAACCUCACCUUUUAACCUUCAGGACCCUGUAUGUUUUGGUUUUAGGUUGGGGUGACCGCGGAGCACAGAUUAGCCUCCACAAUGAAUAGACCUCCUCUUUAUCUGAGAUUUACACCUCUAAGAAUUAGCAUUCUAACAUAAAAUGAUCCGAUAUUCGAUCAACGAACCAAGUUACCCUGGGGAUAACAGCGCAAUCUACUUCAAGAGCCCCUAUCGACAAGUAGGUUUACGACCUCGAUGUUGGAUCAGGGUAUCCUAGUGGUGCAGCAGCUACUAAAGGUUCGUUUGUUCAACGAUUAAAACCCUACGUGAUCUGAGNAGGCNGACCGGA